rnacentral:rRNA from 1 species
UAGGGAAUCUUCCGCAAUGGACGAAAGUCUGACGGAGCAACGCCGCGUGAGUGAAGAAGGAUUUCGGUUCGUAAAACUCUGUUGUUAGGGAAGAAAAAAUGUAUAGUAACUAUAUACAAAAGAGACGGUACCUAACCAGAAAGCCACGGCUAACUACGUGCCAGCAGCCGCGGUAAUACGUAGGUGGCAAGCGUUGUGCGGAAUUAUUGGGCGUAAAGCGCGCGCAGGUGGUUUAGAAAGUCUGAUGUGAAAGCCCACGGCUCAACCGUGGAGGGUCAUUGGAAACUAAUAAACUUGAGUGCAGGAGAGAAAAGUGGAAUUCCUAGUGUAGCGGUGAAAUGCGUAGAGAUUAGGAGGAACACCGGUGGCGAAAGCGGCUUUUUGGCCUGCAACUGACACUGAGGCGCGAAAGCGUGGGGAGCAAACAGG